GACGAACGCUGGCGGCGUGCCUAACACAUGCAAGUCGAGCGGGGAUUUAAGUGGAAGUUCUUCGGAAUGGAGAUUUAAAUUCUAGCGGCGGACGGGUGAGUAACGCGUGAACAAUCUGUCCCGGACAGGGGGAUAACACUUGGAAACAGGUGCUAAUACCGCAUAAGACCACGGCCUCGCAUGGGGCUGAGGUAAAAGGAGCAAUCCGGUUCGGGGUGAGUUCGCGUCCGAUUAGCUAGUUGGUGAGGUAACGGCCCACCAAGGCGACGAUCGGUAGCCGGCCUGAGAGGGUGAACGGCCACAUUGGAACUGAGAGACGGUCCAAACUCCUACGGGAGGCAGCAGUGGGGAUUAUUGGGCAAUGGGCGAAAGCCUGACCCAGCAACGCCGCGUGAGGGAAGAAGGUUUUCGGAUUGUAAACCUCUGUCCUAUGGGACGAAGGAAGUGACGGUACCAUAGGAGGAAGCCCCGGCUAACUACGUG
rnacentral:rRNA from 1 species